rnacentral:rRNA from 1 species
GAUUUCUGGUACGGCGCACUUGGCCCGCUUCGGUUACGAGGUCGAGUGCCGGUGUGCGCCUGCCAUCCUUCUAGAGUACGUCUCUCCCUUCAGUGGGUUGAGCCGGAAUCUAGAUCAUUUACUUUGAAAAAAUUAGAGUGUUUCAAGCAGGCUAUUGCUAUGAAUACAUUAGCAUGGAAUAAUAAUUUAGGACUUCGGUUCUAUUUUGUUGGUUUCUAGGACUGAAGUAAUGAUUGAUAGGGAUAGUUGGGGGUGCUAGUAUUCAGCGGCCAGAGGUGAAAUUCUUGGAUUCGCUGAAGACUAACUUAUGCGAAAGCAUU